UACGGAGGGUGCAAGCGUUAUCCGGAUUCACUGGGCUUAAAGGGUGCGUAGGAGGGCAGGUAAGUCAGUGGUGAAAUCUCCGAGCUUAACUUGGAAACUGCCGUUGAUACUAUCUGUCUUGAAUAUUGUGGAGGUGAGCGGAAUAUGUCAUGUAGCGGUGAAAUGCUUAGAUAUGACAUAGAACACCAAUUGCGAAGGCAGCUCGCUACGCAUAUAUUGACUCUGAGGCACGAAAGCGUGGGGAUCAAACAGG
rnacentral:rRNA from 1 species